UUACUACUUCCUUGGUCUUAAAAUUAUUGUCUUUAAUUUAUCUAGAUAUAAAUGUAUCUAGUCAUGUGUUAGUAUUUAGAUACAUCAAUUUCUAGACAAACGUAAGAUAAGAAUUUUGGAACGGAGAGAGUAUUUU
rnacentral:pre_miRNA from 2 species